GAUGAACGCUAGCGGCAGGCUUAAUACAUGCAAGUCGAGGGACAGCACAGGUAGCAAUACUGGGUGGUAACCGGCAAACGGGUGCGGAACACGUACACAACCUUCCUUUAAGUGGGGGAUAGCCCCGAGAAAUUUGGAUUAAUACCCCGUAAUAUAGUUGAAUGGCAUCAUUUGAUUAUUAUAGCUACGGCGCUUAAUGAUGGGUGUUCGGCUGAUUAGAUAGUUGGCGGGGUAACGGCCCACCAAGUCUACGAUCAGUAGCUGAUGGGAGAGAAUGAUCAGCCAGACGGCGACUGAGACACGGGCCCGACUCCUACGGGAGGCAGGAGUAAGGAAUAUUGGUCAAUGGACGCAAGUCUGAACCAGCCAUGCCGCGUGAAGGAUUAAGGUCCUCUGGAUUGUAAACUUCUUUUAUUUGGGACGAAAAAGGGCCUUUCUAGGUCAACUGACGGUACCAGAUGAAUAAGCACCGGCUAACUCCGUGCCAGCCGCCGCCGUAAUAC
rnacentral:rRNA from 1 species